rnacentral:pre_miRNA from 1 species
UUGGGUGAAAUCAAUGUGGGUCCCACACUUUGAAAAUGGGUCCCACAUAAAUUGAUGGGACCCACAUUGAUUUCAUCCAA